ensembl:scaRNA
CUGCCAAUGAUGCUGUGAACACUGUAUAAUCUGAGUUCUGGGAACCAGGUGAUGGAGAUUGCUGAGCACAGAUUAAUGCCG